rnacentral:rRNA from 1 species
AACGAACGCUGGCGGCGUGCCUAAUACAUGCAAGUCGAGCGGACCUCUUCGGAGGUCAGCGGCGGACGGGUGAGUAACACGUGGGCAACCUGCCUGUAAGACUGGGAUAACUCCGGGAAACCGGAGCUAAUACCGGAUACUAUGUCAAACCGCAUGGUUUGACAUUCAAAGACGGUUUCGGCUGUCACUUACAGAUGGGCCCGCGGCGCAUUAGCUAGUUGGUGAGGUAACGGCUCACCAAGGCGACGAUGCGUAGCCGACCUGAGAGGGUGAUCGGCCACACUGGGACUGAGACACGGCCCAGACUCCUACGGGAGGCAGCAGUAGGGAAUCUUCCGCAAUGGACGAAAGUCUGACGGAGCAACGCCGCGUGAGUGAUGAAGGUUUUCGGAUCGUAAAACUCUGUUGUCAGGGAAGAACAAGUGCCGGAGUAACUGCCGGCGCCUUGACGGUACCUGACCAGAAAGCCACGGCUAACUACGUGCCAGCCGCCGCGGUAACAC